GCAUCUUCAACGUCUGGAAAGAAUUUCGGUCUGGGAUCGGCUCGCGGCCUAUCAGCUAGUUGGUGAGGUAACGGCUCACCAAGGCGUCGACGGGUAGCCGGCCUGAGAGGGUGACCGGCCACACUGGGACUGAGACACGGCCCAGACUCCUACGGGAGGCAGCAGUGGGGAAUAUUGCACAAUGGGCGAAAGCCUGAUGCAGCAACGCCGCGUGAGGGACGACGGCCUUCGGGUUGUAAACCUCUUUUAGCAGGGAAGAAGCGAAAGUGACGGUACCUGCAGAAAAAGCACCGGCUAACUACGUGCCAGCAGCCGCGGUAAUACGUAGGGUGCAAGCGUUAUCCGGAAUUAUUGGGCGUAAAGAGCUCGUAGGCGGUUUGUCGCGUCUGCUGUGAAAACCCGAGGCUCAACCUCGGGCCUGCAGUGGGUACGGGCAGACUAGAGUGCGGUAGGGGAGAUUGGAACUCCUGGUGUAGCGGUGGAAUGCGCAGAUAUCAGGAAGAACACCGAUGGCGAAGGCAGAUCUCUGGGCCGUAACUGACGCUGAGGAGCGAAAGGGUGGGGAGCAAACAGGCUUAGAUACCCUGGUAGUCCACCCCGUAAACGUUGGGAACUAGUUGUGGGGUCCAUUCCACGGAUUCCGUGACGCAGCU
rnacentral:rRNA from 1 species